rnacentral:rRNA from 1 species
CUGGCGGCGUGCCUAACACAUGCAAGUCGAACGAGAAAAUGGAGCAAUCCAUGAGUAAAGUGGCGACCGGGUGAGUAACACGUGACUAACCUACCUCCGAGUGGGGAAUAACUCCGGGAAACCGGGGCUAAUACCGCAUAACAUCGCAAGAUCAAAGCAGCAAUGCGCUUGGAGAGGGGGUCGCGGCUGAUUAGCUAGUUGGCGGGGUAACGGCCCACCAAGGCGAAGAUCGGUAUCCGGCCUGAGAGGGCGCACGGACACACUGGAACUGAAACACGGUCCAGACUCCUACGGGAGGCAGCAGUGGGGAAUUUUGCGCAAUGGGGGAAACCCUGACGCAGCAACGCCGCGUGGAGGAUGAAGCCCUUUGGGGCGUAAACUCCUUUCGACUCGGACGAUAAUGACGGUACGAGUGGAAGAAGCACCGGCUAACUCUGUG